rnacentral:rRNA from 1 species
UCUCAUUGUCCCUAUCUACUAUCUAGCGAAACCACAGCCCAAGGGAACGGGCUUGGAAAAAUCAGCGGGGAAAGAAGACCCUGUUGAGCUUGACUCCAGUCUGGCAUUGUUCGGAGACAUGCCGAGGUGUAGCAUAAGUGGGAGACGGGGAUCACACGGCGUUCAUCGAGAGGUGGGCGUCGUGCCUCGGCGACCUUGAAAUACCACUACUCGCAUCGUUUCCUUACUUACUCGGUGGUGCGGAGCGCGUGCUGUACGGUCAGUGGUCCGGUCAGCGUUGCUUCGGCUCGGCACGGGCCAUCGUUACGGCGGCGGUUUACGCGGCCGCAGUUUGGGAGGGCGGCCUCCGCGCGACUCUUCGGAGCCGCGCGUGCCGCGUUCCCGGUGCGACGCGUGUGGACCUCGUUUUGGGCGGUGGUUACGGGUCGCGGUCGUGCGCGUUGUUUUCCGGGCCCGUUGCGACCCGCAGUCACGAUCGAUUCCCGGUCGACUUAAGCGCGAUCAUCGCCGCCGGUAGCUGCUCCGCGGUGUUUCUCGGACGUCGGCGUUGUACGCGGCCGUUCGCGCGGAAGCGUACGCGACGGCGUCGAGCCCCGGAAAGCCUGGUGACGUCGCGUGAUCCGAUCCGAGGACACCGCCAGGUGGGGAGUUUGACUGGGGCGGUACAUCUGUCAAAGAAUAACGCAGGUGUCCUAAGGCCAGCUCAGCGAGGACGGAAACCUCGCGUAGAGCAAAAGGGCAAAAGCUGGCUUGAUCCCGGACGCUCAGUACGCGUAGGGACUGCGAAAGCAUCGGCCUCUCGAUCCUCUCGUCCGCUGAAGAGUUUUCAKCGAGAGGUGUCAGAAAAGUUACCACAGGGAUAACUGG